AUUGAACGCUGGCGGCAUGCCUUACACAUGCAAGUCGAACGGCAGCACGGGAGCAAUCCUGGUGGCGAGUGGCGAACGGGUGAGUAAAGUAUCGGAACGUGCCCAGUCGUGGGGGAUAACGUAGCGAAAGUUACGCUAAUACCGCAUACGAUCUAUGGAUGAAAGCGGGGGAUCGCAAGACCUCGCGCGAUUGGAGCGGCCGAUAUCAGAUUAGGUAGUUGGUGGGGUAAAGGGCCACCAAGCCGACGAUCUGUAGCUGGUCUGAGAGGACGACCAGCCACACUGGGACUGAGACACGGCCCAGACUCCUACGGGAGGCAGCAGUGGGGAAUUUUGGACAAUGGGCGCAAGCCUGAUCCAGCCAUGCCGCGUGCAGGAUGAAGGCCUUCGGGUUGUAAACUGCUUUUGUACGGAACGAAAAGGUUUGACUUAAUACGUUGGACUCAUGACGGUACCGUAAGAAUAAGCACCGGCUAACUACGUGCCAGCCGCCGCAGUAA
rnacentral:rRNA from 1 species